CCCAUCAGGAGUCUGAGUCCUGGAGAACACAGCUGAAAUGGAAUUCCCAGAGAGAGUCCCAGCGGGGAAGGCCCUUUUCAAACUGGAGAAACCCCAGAGUGACCAGCUCAGCCCAGUUUGCUGAGGACCGUCCUAGUUUUCACAUGGAAAGUCCUGGAUCCUGGAGACUCCCUUGGUGCUGGGUAAAGCAUGCCAGCUCAGCGCAGGGAGGGGCGGAGGGCCAGCCCAGUCUUGUCUGCUUGCCUCUGGGCACAUUCUGGACGGCCCACUCCUGUCCCCGGCACUGCAGAGGGAAGGAGCGCCUGCGCCUGGCCAGCACCUUCCUGUGCUUUGGGAGUUGGCCUCACGCCGCCACCACGGAGCUGCUUUUCCUGCCCCUGGGGUGAGGCCGAGAUCGCCCAGGGGCUGCCACUGUGCCAGUAUGCUGUCACCGUGCCAGGAUGCCAUCACUGUGCCAGGAUGCCAUCCUGCUGUCACCUCUGCCUCAAGUCUCAGGCUGUAGGGGCAUCUCCACCCAUGCAGCCAUCUUCACCCAUGCAGCUAGCUCUCCCCUCUCCUCAGGGCUGAGCUGAUCCAGCAGGGCUGAGGACAUGGGUAGGGAUGGGCCACUUGCUCACAGGUCUGUUUGAACACUGCAGAGGAGGAACCCAGAGAGGGGGUCUCCCUGGGACCAGUGACUGGAGAGUGGGCGGACCUGGGAGGGGCAGCUCUGGGUGCUCAGCUUCUCUGAGGAAUCUGAGGACAAGGUUCUAGUCCCCAAAGUACUCGGAGGCUGAGAGCUUAUUAUGUGAGCUGCCCGGGUGGAGGCUAGGACUCAGAGGGUUUCACUUCAC
rnacentral:lncRNA from 1 species